UAUUUGUUAUGGCUCAAUGUAUUUGUUAUGGAACAGUAAAGAUUUUUAACUUCCAGGAUCAUUAUCUGUACUAAAGGAGUAAAGGUACUUUUGUAUUAGUAUUUUUUUUUUACUCUUUUAUUUAUUUAUUUAUUUCAUCUCUUCAGCAAGCAGUGUUUUAUUACAAAGUUUGGAAAGCCAAAUGGGUAAGUCCACACUGAUCCUGGCCACCCGUUCUCCUGUGCCUUGAGUUAUAUGUCAGCUAGUUACUCCUUAAGAAUUUAUUAGGUGUUUAAGAGCUAAGGGAAGCUUUGUUUGUUUGUUCAGUCACUUCAGUUAUGUCCAGCUCUUUGUGACCAUAUGGACUGUAGCCUACCAGGCUUCUCUGUCCACGGGAUUCUCCAGUAUUCUUGCCCAGGAAAUGCCAUGGACAGAGCAGCCUGGCGGGCUAUAGUCCAAAGGGUCACAAAGAGUAGGACACGGCUGAACACACAAUGGACUGGAUUGGAUUUGGCCUAAUUCACAUAAUUCUUGUCUUCAUUCUAAGGAGAUUUGCCUGAACAGCCCCGGUUCUGCCUUCCUCAGGGUUAACCUUCCCCCAUCAUUGUGCCUAAGGCAAGGAGAAUCCAAUGGCUCAAUCAGAUGUCAGCUCCCUGUCACACUCCAUUCAGGAGAACUGUAUGCUGCAGCUGUGGGUCCUGAAUGUUUCUCCUUAUGCUAUGUAAUGAAGAGGGACACUGCAGAAAGGUGGCUGUGGGGAAAACAUCUGGAAGAAAUAAACUUCCUAGGAUCAAAGGGCUCCGUGUGCAGCCCAGAGGGUCCUCAGGGUGCUCCUCAGAGCAAACAAACAAUUCUCUUGAUGAGUCACUGCACUUUUUUUUCUGCCAGAAGCCCACAUGUGUUGCAAGAUCUCAAGGAAAAUGGGUGGAGUAUGGAGAGACGGAACAUUAAAGAAGGCAACAAGAGGGAUUUUUAAAAGAUCCUAAUCAUGUGAAUAAAGGAAAUCUCAACAUGAUUACAAUCCUUAAUAUGCCCACCAUCCUUAACAUUGUAUCACUUCUAUUGCAGCAGAUUAAAACUAUGGAUAACAAAAUAUUUUUUAAAACACACAUUACAAAAGCAGCAGGACAAAGAAAGGACGUUUGGGAUGAAUACAACACUCUGAAACAACAUAUUUUUUUUUCCUCUAACACAUGAAAAUUGGCAGAGGAGGGGGAAGCCCAGGACUAUGUCCCAAGCCCUAGCCAGUGGCAUUUUACUGAGAAAAAAAAAAGUUACUUAUGAAUCAGUACAGCCAUGCUUUGUUCUGCAUGAGUGUUUUAAUAGAGCGAGUGUAAUAUAAGGAUCAGGUGGGCUCGUGGGAAUGGAACAAAAGGUUUUGUAAAAUUAAAGCAAAAUAAUUAUAGCUCUAGGUGCAAAGCGAGCAUACUCCAGCAGUUGAUAGCGAGGACCUGCUCAGAAUGGAGAAGGGAGGGGGCAUGUUGGAAGUUUUUUUUUUUUUUUUUAUUCACUAACAAAGGCUUUUAAUAGGUAACAGUUGUAAAGCGUCUUUGAAAGUAAUUAAUGCACCCACACAAAAAUUUAUUAAAAUGAAAAUUUAAGGAAUUGUCUAAAGUGAAUUAAUUAACAAAAAAAGAACAUCAUGCCUUUCUUAUUUUUUAAAGAGGGAGAGAAGGUUAAGCAAAGC
ensembl:lncRNA